rnacentral:lncRNA from 1 species
CAGACCGAGGCAAAGAGGCAGUCCUGAAACAAGCAAAACCAGGGAGCUGGACAGGGGACAGAUUGGAUUUGUCUUCAGUGUGGAAGGGAUUGUCACUCUCGAAUUGGCCUUCUCAGCCACACAAGACACUGUUCCAAGACCUCCAUACAGAGCACGAUACCAUAGUCUCUCGAGACUGAAGGAUGCCUACACAUGCAAGGAUGCCCUGUGGAUUUCAUUUGGGUCCCGUUUUAAGUGUACCAACGUGAUUUCCACCUCCUAGGGUGAACACAUGGAUCAGAGCACAGUAAUCCUUAGGGUUUUGCACUCCUAUAGUUCUCAGCUUUAAAAAAUGCCACAACGCUAGGGUAUUAAACUGCUACUUUUCACAUUCUUCUUCAUCUUCUUUUUAAAUUGCCAGUUCACACAUAAAUAGGAUAGCCUGGACUCAGGACUGAGACAAGGCAGUUUUCUGCUUGAGGUGGAGCAGCGCAUCAUGUCCCCCCCCAUGCCUCUUAAAGUGCAAUUUGGCUGAAGGGAUCCAAGUUAUUUUGGUACAUGAGACAGAAAAAUCACAACCAGGACUCCUUCCCCUUCAUGGCAGAAUAAAUAGAAUAAUGGCAUAUUAAAUGACUAUUUACUGACCUUUCAGGGCACUCAAAACCUGCUGACAGAGCCCCCUCAAUGGGGUGAGUGCUUGGGAUGCAUCCGCAGUGAAUGUACGGACAAAUAUAUCUGAGACUGAGGGUCAAUUUACAAUUUCUCAGUACAAUACCGAACCUGAAAGCAGCUAGCAAGUCUGGAGACUGCCAGUGUGCCACGAAAGGUCAGCUCCCAUUAGAGGUAUUUAUUUAAUUUCGAAGCCAAAAUAGCAAUUGCAUUUAUGCGAUUUAAAAAGAAGAUUAAUUCCUCUGAUCUACAGGAGAGAAAAGGUUACAUAUUAAUUGUCACAGCCAUUUAUUUAUAUGGAUCAUCUCACAUUUCAAUAGUUAAUCUGUAUAGGAUUUAUGGGUAAAUGAUUUUGCCAGUGUGUUUUGGCCAAGAAAGAAGUAAACACAUCCCUCCCCCACCCCCCAACAUAGCUCCUCAU